rnacentral:rRNA from 1 species
AAUAUUGCACAAUGGGCGAAAGCCUGAUGCAGCAACGCCGCGUGAGUGAUGAAGGCCUUCGGGUUGUAAAGCCCUGUCUUCUGGGACGAUAAUGACGGUACCAGAGGAGGAAGCCACGGCUAACUACGUGCCAGCAGCCGCGGUAAUACGUAGGUGGCAAGCGUUGUCCGGAAGUACUGGGCGUAAAGGAUGCGUAGGCGGAUACUUAAGUCAGAUGUGAAAAUCCCGGGCUUAACUUGGGAACUGCAUUUGAAACUGGGUAUCUAGAGUGCGGGAGAGGAAAGUGGAAUUCAUAGUGUAGCGGUGAAAUGCGUAGAGAUUAGGAAGAACACCAGUGGCGAAGGCGACUUUCUGGACCUUAACUGACGCUGAGGCAUGAAAGCGUGGGGAGCAAACAGG